UACGAAGGGGGCUAGCGUUGUUCGGAAUUACUGGGCGUAAAGCGCACGUAGGCGGACAUUUAAGUCAGGGGUGAAAUCCCAGAGCUCAACUCUGGAACUGCCUUUGAUACUGGGUGUCUUGAGUAUGGAAGAGGUGAGUGGAAUUCCGAGUGUAGAGGUGAAAUUCGUAGAUAUUCGGAGGAACACCAGUGGCGAAGGCGGCUCACUGGUCCGAUACUGACGCUGAGGCGCGAAAGCGUGGGGAGCAAACAGG
rnacentral:rRNA from 1 species